UGUUUAUAACACAGUACUCUGGCCAGGACGUAUGCUUCAUCAGGAAAAUGUCAUAACUGAAUUGGAAAUAGGAAUUUGAAGCCAUUUACUUCUCUGUAAAUGAAAACACAUUCAGUCUUACUCUUUUGGUGAUACCAGAUAAUACCAUUUUAAGGCCAUAGGUUCUUGCUUUAAUUAUAUUUGUCAUCAUGUUAAUUAAUUUCUGCUUCUGUGUAUAGUUGCCCAGGUAACACAUGUAUGUGUCUGUGUAUGUAUGUGAACUAACACCUUAAUUAGUGGAGAACACUGGCCAUAUGGAUCACCAGAGUUUUUCCAUAUUAAUUACCUUUACAAGUCAAUGAAGGAACAAAGGUAAAGGCAAAAGAAUUGGAACCAGGCCAUUUUUUUUUCUAGCAUAACACAGUUUUCCCUUACUUGGUUAACAAGGAAAGUUGAAAAACUCUUAAAGAAACUCUAGCCUAAAGCAUUGAGUCUUUCAGAAGGGAUUUCCAAACUAAACUAUGAAGACAAAUUUGGACAAGAAGUAAAUUUUUUUCUUGGUUAUAUUCCUCUGAAAAGCAUAUUAUUUAAUAAACCGUUGGUCAAUUACUCUGGAGUGAGAAUUGCAUUCUUCUGAAUCAAACGAUCAACAUAAACUUCUAUUAGGUUGGUACAAAAGUAAUUGCAGUUUUGCCUUUACUUUUAAUAUGUGUGUGUUCAUGGGAAUCUUUGCUUGUUUGUUUCUGUGGUUGUGUCAAUCUAUGUACAGCAAAUUUAGUGUGAUCCCUGUCUCCUCAAUUUGGCGUAGAGAGAAAAAUACUAACUUGGGAAUCAGAAGAAUUGGGAUCUAGCUUUGGAUAAAAGGGCUAAUACUUUAAUAUGAAAAGCCUCUUAGGAGACUUCACCACAAGAAGGAUCAUGCAUAGUAUUGUUUACAACAAUGAAAUCUGGAAAAAAAUCACUAAAUUUCUAAUAAUUGUGAAUUGUUUAAAUACAUUUUGGUACAUUUAUGUAAUGGAAUUUAUGCAGCCAUUUAAAAUAUUGCUGUAGAAUCAUAUUUACUGGCAUAAAAUGAUGUUUCCAUAGAUAGAUUUACUUCAUAUAAUGACUGUUCAUUCAACAAUUUUUGGCCAUAUUGGCUAUUUCACAGUUAUACAACUUUUCAGACAAUGUUUAAAAAAAUUUAACUAUUUUUCACCCAAGCAAUACUAAGUAAAUAUGCGAUAUGAAACAUUAUAUCCUAAAACAUAGUUUUAGGAUAACCAUGUUAACCAAACCAGAUUGUUUAAACAUUAUGCUUUUAGGAUAACCAUGUUAACCAAAUGAUUUUAGGAUAACCAUGUUAACCAAACCAAUUUUCUCAACACAGUAGUUUCUAGUCAAAUAAUAUAAUGUGAAACAAGUAGAAUUGGGCACCACAUUAGGUGAUUCUAAAUACUUUGCUUUGUGUAGGUUCACCAAUCCAGUGGGGUAAAGACAUAGUGUCUCUGUGUGCUCUUUCCAUACUUUGCUAAGAAUUAUAAAACUGAUAUGGUUUGGCUGUGUCCUCACCCAAAUCUCAUCUUGAAUUUUAGUUCCCAUAAUCCCCACAUGUCGUGGAAGAGACCCAGUGGGAAGUGAUUAAAUCAUGGGGGCGGUUUCCCCAUGCUGUUCUUGUGAUAGUGAGUAAGUUCUCAUGACAUCUGAUGGUUUUAUAAGCGUCUGGCAUUUCCCCUGCUUGCACUCAUUCUCCCUCCUGCUGCCCUGUGAAGAGGUGCCUUCCACCAUGAUUGUAAGUUUCCUGAGGCCUCCCCAGCCCUGCUGAACUGUGAGUCAAUUAAACCUCUUUCCUUUAUAAAUUACCCAGUCUUGAGCAGUUCUUUAUAGCAGUAUGAAAACAGACUAAUACAAAGAUUUAGCCUUUAUUUUACCCUAUAGAUAGCUUUCAGUGAUCUAACUUUAUUUCUAAGUCCAAUUAUUUCUAAUUUGAGUGCCAAAUAUAAUCAUGAAUCCCUGAAAAUGUGAAAAAUUGGUAAAGAAAAUGGUGUAUAGAAAAUUCAUCUUCCAAAAGAAUGACUUUCUCACAACUGUCCCCAACCAACAUCCACUACGAAGACUAUUUGUCCUCAUUUUGUGAGUACAAUAGAUCUUUAUUAUAUUUUAGUCAAUAUACAAACCAUAUUCAGAUACUUUGGGAUACUGUUGUCUGCUGUUUGUA
rnacentral:lncRNA from 1 species